UAUGAUUGAUGGCACAUUAUUCUAGUCAAUCACUUUAUUAUGAGGACGGGAUUAAACAACCGUUAAAGAGCAUAUCUGUGAAACCUUUGGUGUUUGCUUCUUACGCCCAGUUUGGGGUGGAUGCUGGAGGGCUAGAGUACUGGGCGCUCGUAAUGGCAUACGACAAACGACCCAGUAUUCAUGGAGACCUAUUCUUGUGGUAAGCCUAUACGUGUAUACUGAUGGACUUAUUACGACUUAGGCUUUGAACCUACAUUGUGGCGAAAGUUAUGUGUAGAGUAGCUUGUCUUGCGUGGUAAUAUCGGGAUAAAUGAUCUUGCUUAUAUAGUAGGCCAACUAUUGUAAGUAUUGCGUUUUGAAAUUAUUACUGCAAAAAAGAAUUAAUAAUAAAGCUUGGUGAGGAAAUCUCCUAGAAUGUCGUCAAUAUAGGAUUGCAGUGGGUACUAAGUGGUAAUCAAGUCAUAUGUAUAGGUAACUACAUAUUAAUUCUUUUAAAGGGGAACCACAUAUUUGGUAACGAAUAUGUAAGAAUUAGGGAAAUCCUACUUGACCUAAGACUCAAAGUUUACUGUAUUGAUAGCCAUUAAUUUA
rnacentral:sRNA from 1 species